ACACGACUACAUUAGAUACCCGGGUAGUCCUAGCCGUAAACGAUACUCGCUAGGUGUCGGCCACGGUGCGACCGUUGUCGGUGCCGUAGGGAAGCCGUGAAGCGAGCCACCUGGGAAGUACGGCCGCAAGGCUGAAACUUAAAGGAAUUGCGGGGGAGCACCACAACGGGUGGAGCCUGCGGUUUAAUCGGACUCAACGCCGGGAAUCUCACCGGAUAAGACAGCUGAAUGAUAGUCGGGAUGAAGACUCUACUUGACUAGCUG
rnacentral:rRNA from 1 species